rnacentral:misc_RNA from 1 species
CCGAGUUUACAACUCCCAAACCCCUGUGAACAUACCUAUACGUUGCCUCGGCGGAUCAGCCCGCGCCCCGUAAAACGGGACGGCCCGCCCGAGGACCCCUAAACUCUGUUUUUAGUGGAACAUCUGAGUAAAACAAACAAAUAAAUCA